rnacentral:miRNA from 1 species
UCGCUUACGCCGACCGCGUAAC